rnacentral:rRNA from 1 species
UACAUGAGUGGUAAGCGUUGCUUAUAAUUGUUAGGUGUAAAUUAUCCUAUGACAAUAAUAUUAACUAUAGUUAUAUAUUAGUUUUUGUUAUAUGUUACUUAAACAAAUUACCUUUUAAUGCUAAUUUAGGGUUAAAAUCCUUUUAUUAUUAGUUGUUAAAUUCAAUGAUGAAAAUAUAGGUAAUUGUUUAUGUUUAGUUUUAGGAUGAAAGUAUGGGUAGCGGCGAGGAUUAGAGACCCUCUUAGACCAUACUUCAAAUGCUGGUAAGUUACUUUAUUAAGUAUAGUUAACGUAAGACUUACCUACCGGGGGCCUAAAAUCGCAAGAUUAAAACUUAAAAAAAUUGGCGGGACUUUUUAAACGGUGGAACAUGUGGUUUAAUUCGAUAAUCCUCGAAAAACCUUACUAACACGGUAAAUUUAAAAUAAUAGUUAAUUCUAUUGUUUAGAAGUUAACUUGGCAUCGCAUGGCUGUCGUCAGCUCGUGCUGUAAAGUGUAGCGUUUAGUCGUAUUUAACGAGCGCAACCUUAAACCAUGUAAAUGGUUGAUAGAUGAAGUCAAGUCUUUAUGGUCUUUUUGUGUUAGGCUACACAUGUGUUACAUAAAAAAGAAACAAAAAAAUAAAAUUUAGUAAUAAAUUUUUAAGUAAAAAUUUUUUAAUACAGAUUGUCGGUUGAAAGUUAUCGACAUGAAGUUGGAAUCGUCAGUAAUCAUAAUUUAGAAUGUUAUGGUGAAGGUUUUUUAAAGUUUGCACACACCGCCCAUCACGCUCGCAGAAUCUAUAGUAUUUAAGUUUUACCUUAUAAUCCCUAUAAUUUAGGUUUUUUACAGUAAAAAGUAAACAUUGUCGGUAAUAUGAGUGAAG